rnacentral:rRNA from 1 species
GACGAACGCUGGCGGCGUGCUUAACACAUGCAAGUCGAACGGAAAGGCCCUGCUUUUGUGGGGUGCUCGAGUGGCGAACGGGUGAGUAACACGUGAGUAACCUGCCCUUGACUUUGGGAUAACUUCAGGAAACUGGGGCUAAUACCGGAUAGGAGCUCCUGCUGCAUGGUGGGGGGUGGAAAGUUUCGGCGGUUGGGGAUGGACUCGCGGCUUAUCAGCUUGUUGGUGGGGUAGUGGCUUACCAAGGCUUUGACGGGUAGCCGGCCUGAGAGGGUGACCGGCCACAUUGGGACUGAGAUAUGGCCCAGACUCCUACGGGAGGCAGCAGUGGGGAAUAUUGCACAAUGGGCGGAAGCCUGAUGCAGCAACGCCGCGUGCGGGAUGACGGCCUUCGGGUUGUAAACCGCUUUCGCCUGUGACGAAGCGUGAGUGACGGUAAUGGGUAAAGAAGCACCGGCUAACUACGUG